UUUUCUGGGUUAGGAGCAACUGACACGCUCUUGGUUUCAUAGCUGUGAGCACUGCUUCAAAAGCAAAAUUCUGCAGAAGAAGCAUAACUCCUGAGAGGUUUUAACCUCCCGAUGCAUUCAGUGUCCUGUCAAAUGACAGCUUCAGUUCUGGAGGGCCCAAGAUAUGAAGUCUUCAAUGCCUCCGUGUUCUACCUCCUUGCUAGAAUGAGAAGGAUAUUCAGUAGUUCUGCAGAUUUUGAUUUUUCUAUGUAUGCUGGAAAUGAUGGCCACCAGCAGAAGAGACAGAGAUGGUACCUGGAGCUUCUCAGUUACUGGUGGCUUCAUGCAAGGCUAGCAGCAAAUACAUGUUCAGAUUCCGCCCAAAGUAAAAGGAACUCCAUGCAGAGACUGUAAAGGAAACAAAUGUGCAGAAAAAAGCAAUCAGAGAGGAAAGCUAAUGCAAGAAUGAACUAAGAAGUGUAUUGUAUGUGCUGUAUAUGGUAAAGACUGGACAAAGCAAAUUAAACACUUUCACUAGGACUAGCAUACUCGUUAAGGAAAUACAAAACUGUCAACAAGAAGAGAAAAUGUCAUGAAAUGUCAGCAGCAGAAUAGCUACAAAAUGAAAUGGAACAUUUUCCUUGGGAUAAAAGCCUCAUAAACUCCACGAAAUUCUUCCAAUCAAGUUCUAAAAGAACAAGAAUAAAGCCUGAGGGAGAAAAUGUCAAUGCUAAUAGACAGUCAAAUGGAAAACAGUCCUAUUGGGCAGAAAGAAAAAUAAAUGUAUCCAAAGUAACAUCCAAGCACAGACUGACCUGAGCGAAUGACCUGGUAUAGGAGUCUUCAAAUUUAGAGAUAACAAUUGCUUUUUUGAAUAGGAACACAGGCUGUAUUUGAUUUUUUUCAAAUUUUUGAAAUAUUUUUUUUAUGCAUGAUAAUACAGACAGACCAAAAAAAAAAAAAAAAGGGAAAAAAAAAGGCAUAGAGAAAAGCUCCUCUGGAAUCCAGUCUUUUCUAAAAUCUAUGUAAUUAAUUUUGUAGCGUGAGAUUAUAACUAUCAUAAGGACAAUUGGAAAAGGUACUAGCCAGUGAAGCAUUGUUUCUGCUUUUAAUUCAUGAAAUGGAGUUACUAAUGGACUAACUAAUUCCUAUUCCUAUUUCCUUUUCAAAUACAUAAGAAGUAUAGGCAGUGGGGUCAGAGACUGAGGAACAGUUCACAGUCUAAGUAAAUCUGCACUGAAGUUGCAUGAAAAGAAGACAAAGUGUGUACUAUUGACAAUGAACACAUCCUGAGUAAGAAUCUAUGCUUGAAUUUCUGGGCAAGUGCUUCUCUGUGCUGUGACAGAACAGGUGGGCUGUGCGUCCAACCCCAGGUAUGCUUGUAACGCAGGUGUUUUUAUGGCUGUAAAUUCAGUGCAAUGAACAGUAGCAUCUAUAAAUGUACAGAGGAGAAACCCCAAAGCAUUGUACCCUUUUCUGUGCACCUGAAUUUCCCCGAAGUUGUAAUUAUUUUUUAUUCGCCCCAGAGAAAGUUUGUGUGUAAAUUAACACAGGUUCCAGUGUGAAGCAUCAUUCAUACAGAAGUAACAGUGAGAAAAUAUCAGCAUAGCAGUAUAACUUUACAUAGAAUGUUUUCAUUAUUCUCUGAGAAUCUGAGUUUUUUUUGUUUUGUUUAUGUUGUUUAUUUAUUUAUUUAUUUUUCAAAUGAAUAUGGUCUAUUUUGUGAAUCCAAACUUUAGAUGGCACAGAGACAUUGGGUUACUUGGUUCAGUGAAAAUGAUAGUUCCUUCAGGCCUAAAUAGUUGUUCAUCUUCAGGAAGCAGAGUAAAUUGUGUUAUGAAAAUUUAUAUGGUGCGUGGUAAUGUAUCAAAAUGGCCAAAC